rnacentral:rRNA from 1 species
AUGGCCUCCUCUCCACCCACCACCCUCACCCCCCCAGAUCCCUCCCUGGCCACCGACCCCCCCAUUCCUGCCCUCCGUCCGAACUCCCCUGCAGAUCCAGAUCCAAGACUGCUGGUUGCCGGUGCUACUGUUGGUGACGGGGCUUCUCUCUCGCGCUCCGAGGGAUGCCAUGGGCUCCUCCCUCCACUCAAGUUGCUGCCCCCUUCAGAUCGACUCCCCCCGAACUUCAGGCCACAAAUCGUGUCUGAUGCAUCGCAGGCUCCGGCGGAGAAGGGGUGGGUGGAGGUCGGGGGCCGGCAUCGCCCGAGGUUGGAGAAGCCAUCUGCCCUGCCCCGUAAGAAGAAGGACGACCACUCCCUCGCAUUCAAGCAGAGAUCUUACGGACUCUGCUUCCGUUGCUUGGCGGAGGACCACUUUGUCGCCGAUUGCCGAGGCCCUGUCACCUGCCUGGGUUGCGGCCACUCUAGCCAUCGCAAGCGUGACUGUCUGGGCCGCCUUCCUGCCAGUCAAGGUCGCCUCCGCCGCUCCAUGUUGCCGCCAUAUGCUCCUGGACUCCCCAACCAUGAGCCCCCAACUUCUUCACAACAGUUGCAGCAGCGCUCGUGGGCCGCCGUGGUUGCUUCUCCGAUGGGGCUCGUUCAGGAGGCCCUUUGUAGCAACUCCGGUGUCUCUUGGUCAGGUCUGUCCGAUCCCGGCAAGACUACCUUUGCUGUUGAUCUGGGGCUGCUACAACCCCUUUUUGCAGCACAGACCAAGACGUUGCGCGCUGAACUGCAGGCCCUGGUUACCGCCCGUGUGGAGGAGGUCGUUCAACCUCUCCGCGACAUGGCGGUCACUUUGCAGGGAUGGGCGGCUUGGGUCUCAGGCCUCUUGGAGCGGCUGGAGGAUACCAGUGAUGCGGGUGUGGCCGGUUGCUCAUCCGAGGUACUGGCUACUGUGGCUCUACCUGUAGAUGUUCCUCCUCCUUCGGAUCUAGCUCUGCACAGGAUGGUGACUCAAGGUGAGGAGGCACAAGCUAAGGUUGCUGAGAAAGUCAGAGGGACCGAUGAUAUGGAGCGGACUGAGGUGUCCUUACCCGUUGGCUUGGUUGGAGAGGUGCCGCCCUUGGUCUCCUCUCCAGGGAUGACUGCCUCAGAGGGUAGUAGAAUUUAG